CAAUAAGUGUUUUAUGGCACUUUUUCAAUCCAUAUCCACCUUGUGUGCAAUGUUGUCUUGUAACGCGAAUGCUUGUCAUUUGCGCUACAGGAUGUAAACAUCAACUCAUUCUUUAACUAAUUUGUCUGAAAAAUAUUAUGAAUAACUUAAUUCAAAAUA
rnacentral:misc_RNA from 1 species